GAUGAAGAACGUAGCGAAAUGCGAUAAGUAAUGUGAAUUGCAGAAUUCAGUGAAUCAUCGAAUCUUUGAACGCACCUUGCGCCCUUUGGCCAUUCCGAAGGGCAUGCCUGUUUGAGUAUCAUGAACACCUCAACUCUUUAUGGUUUUCCAUGAUGAGCUUGGACUCUGGGGGUUUUGCUGGCUCACAGUCGGCUCCUCUAAAAUGAAUCAGCUUACCAGUGUUUGGUGGGUAUCAUGGGUGUGAUAACUAUCUACGCUUGUGGUUUUUCCACCAGGUAACCUUCAGCAGUGGAGGUUCGCUGGAGCUCAUAGAUGUCUCUCCUCAGUGAGGACAGCCCUUUGAAUGUUUGAUCUCAAAUCAGGUAGGACUACCCGCUGAACUUAAGCAUAUCAUUAAGCGGAGG
rnacentral:misc_RNA from 1 species